UACGUAGGGUGCGAGCGUUAAUCGGAAUUACUGGGCGGAAAGCGUGCGCAGGCGGUUCGUUAAGUCAGCUGUGAAAGCCCCGGGCUCAACCUGGGAAUUGCGGUUGAAACUGGCGAACUAGAAUCUGGCAGAGGGGGGUGGAAUUCCACGUGUAGCAGUGAAAUGCGUAGAGAUGUGGAGGAACACCGAUGGCGAAGGCAGCCCCCUGGGCUGAGAUUGACGCUCAGGCACGAAAGCGUGGGGAGCAAACAGG
rnacentral:rRNA from 1 species